AGCGAACGCUGGCGGCAGGCUUAACACAUGCAAGUCGAGCGGCCACUCCGUUGUCAGCGGCAGACGGGUGAGUAACACGUCGGAACGUACCCUUUUGUUCGGAAUAACACUGGGAAACUAGCGCUAAUACCGGAUACGCCCUUUUAGGGCAAGGCUUGCUGCGGAAGGAUCGGCCCGCGUCUGAUUAGCUAGUUGGUGGGGUAAUAGCCUACCAAGGCGACGAUCAGUAGCUGGUCAGAGAGGAUGGUCAGCCACACUUGGACUGAGACACGGCGGAGACUCCUACGGGAGGGAGCAGUGGGGAAUAUAGGACAAUGGGCGGAAGGAUGAUGGAGCCAGGCCGGGUGAGUGAUGAAGGCCGGAGAGAAGUAAAGCUCUUUUGUACGGGACGAUAAUGACGGUACCGGAAGAAUAAGCCCCGGCUAACUUCGUG
rnacentral:rRNA from 1 species